CAAGCCCACUGAAGUUGAGGAUAAUUCUGAAGUAGUUGUAUCUGAAAGGAGAGGUUCUUCUGAUGCAAGCUCUGGUGACUAUGUAAUUCCAAAGGGUGUGGAAAGUGAGGCUCCUGAAAACACAGAAGAAACUGCUUCAGGCUCAAGUGAAGAAAAGCCCCUACCAACUGCACCUCUUCCUAGCCCAGAAGUUCCAGCCGCUGGGAGGAAUCCUAACCCAGCACCAACCAGGAGAAAUCCACCAGGGGGAAAGUCUAGUCUAGUGCUCGGUUAAGCUCAAUUUUCCUUCACUCCUUAAUUACUUGGAACUCGUGUCUGUUAUCUUUGUUUUUUUCCAUGCUUGUGAACUGCACAACUUGAGAUUGACUGUACUUCCAAAACUACCAUUAAAGGGGCACUUUAUGUACUUCAUAUUUUUUUUGUUUUUUUUGUUUUUUUUUCCAGCCAAUCUUUUCUUAAACUUCUUGUCUUGUCUCUCUUGAGUCUAACAGAAGUGACGUGUAAUUUUUUUUCGUAAUGGUAGACAGUGGUAUUUGCUAUACAGCCCAUGGCUGACAAAAGAUUUCUGAGGUAUAUAGUAAUGUCUGAAGCUAAGAUGGA